GUGUUUUGUUGCUGUGACUGACUCGCCUACAGAAAAUAUGCACAUACCACAUAAGUAUACGUCAAUGUCUGUAAUAAUGGUAGAUCAAAUGUUUCAUCUGUGUGAAACUUUUUGCUAAUCGAAAUGUUAAACCAACCACCAAUCCAUGUACAUAGAUGCGCUACGUAAACAAAGUUGUUGAUUGAUGCAUCGUAAUGUCCGAGUGCUGCAUGCUGAGAGAUUAAAUACUGUUUAUAUAGUCAUUGAGAGGCUAAACAAAGUUUCUUGCAAGAAGAGGAAGUUAGUGGAUGCAUUCAACUUGGACAACGAAAUCAUAGUUUCGUUUGGCAUCAGCCUGAAGACCGAGGGAGGUUAGAUAGGACCAGUGCAGGUUGAAGUGGAUUUCGAGGCAACAAGUAUAACAGCAAGAGAGGUACUCCAUUUACAGUGAUGAUGACAUAUCCCCUGGACCCCCACAA